AACGAACGCUGGCGGCAUGCCUAACACAUGCAAGUCGAACGAAGUCUUCGGACUUAGUGGCGCACGGGUGCGUAACGCGUGGGAAUCUGCCCUUGGGUGCGGAAUAACUUCUCGAAAGGGAUGCUAAUACCGCAUAAUGUCGUAAGACCAAAGAUUUAUCGCCCAAGGAUGAGCCCGCGUAAGAUUAGCUAGUUGGUGGGUAAAAGCCUACCAAGGCGACGAUCUUUAGCUGGUCUGAGAGGAUGAUCAGCCACACUGGGACUGAGACACGGCCCAGACUCCUACGGGAGGCAGCAGUGGGGAAUAUUGGACAAUGGGCGAAAGCCUGAUCCAGCAAUGCCGCGUGAGUGAUGAAGGCCCUAGGGUGUAAAGCUCUUUUACCAGGGAUGAUAAUGACAGUACCUGGAGAAUAAGCCCCCGGCUAACU
rnacentral:rRNA from 1 species